AACGUAGGGGACAAGCGUUAUCCGGAUUUACUGGGCGUAAAGCGCCCGUAGGCGGCCUGAUAAGUUGGACGUGAAAGCUCCCGGCUUAACUGGGAGAGGCCGUUCAAAACUGUGAGGCUAGAGUGAGGCAGAGGAGUGCGGAAUUCCCGGUGUAGUGGUGGAAUGCGUAGAGAUCGGGAGGAACACCAGUGGCGAAAGCGGCGCUCUGGGCCUAAACUGACGCUGAGGGGCGAAAGCGUGGGGAGCGAACGGG
rnacentral:rRNA from 1 species